rnacentral:rRNA from 1 species
AGCAGCCGCGGUAAUACGUAGGGGGCAAGCGUUAUCCGGAAUCACUGGGCGUAAAGGGUGCGUAGGCGGCUUAGCAAGCCAGGGGUGAAAGGCAUUGGCUCAACCAAUGUAAGACCUUUGGUAACUGUUAAGCUUGAGUGCAGGAGAGGUAAGUGGAAUUCCUAGUGUAGAGGUGAAAAUUCGUAGAUAUUAGGAGGAACACCAGUGGCGAAGGCGACUUACUGGACUGUAACUGACGCUGAUGCACGAAAGCGUGGGUAGCGAACAGGAUUAGAUACCCUGGUAG